rnacentral:lncRNA from 1 species
UAGUCCUAUCUCACCACCAAACAUAGCUAGCUUGAAAAGCAACUAAAUUGAAACAUUUCUUGCACCUAUAUUUUGACACUAGUCAUCAUUUGGGGAUUUAAAGAGUGCAUUGUAGCCCCAAGUCUAAAAAACCCAGACUUUCAUAAAUUUCCAAAUCAUGGCACGAAGAACCAACUUUGUCCAGUCUCACCACCAAACAUAGCUUGCUUUAAAACCAGCUAAAUGGACACAUUUCUUGCACCUAUAUUUUGACAUUAAUUAUCAUUUGGGGAUUUAAAGAGUGCAUUCCAGCCCCUAAGUCUAAAAAACCAAGACGAUAAAAACUUUCCAAAUCUUGGCACCAAGCACCAACUUAGUCCAGUCUCACCACUAAACAUAGCUUGCUUGAAAAGCAACUAAAUUGAAACAUUUCUUGCGCAUAUAUUUUGACACUAGUCGUCAUUUGGGGAUUUAAAGAGUGCAUUGCGGCCCCUAAGUCUAAAAAACCAAGACCUUCAAAAAUUACCAAAUCUUGGCACCA